CCACUACGGCUAAUCAGUUACUGUUUGUCGUAGGCGGAGUAGGAACACUGAUAAUUGGUUUUAGAUGAUCACACACAAUAGGCUUGACCCUCCUAUGUGACAUCCCUGAUUCUUGGUGUUUUGCUUUUUUGUACAGUAUUCAAAUUUUGGGACAAUUUUUUCCUAAAUCACCUGCUACGAGUUUUUGGGGUUCAAUGGCGCCCGCUAUGAAAACUCUGAUAUUAUUAUUAGUUCUCUCCGGGGAUUUCAAAUAUUGGUUCUAUUUAAGAGCAGUCAGUUCAGAUAAGACAAGACAAGGCAAAUCAUUACGUGAACAAAUUCAACUAGUGAGACAGCCUCUGCGGAGCUGGUUAAAGUCAGGACAGACUCCAAGUAAACUCACAGAUCAAACUGGAAUUUAGCGUGUUACGGUUUUGAGGAGGGAGGAAAACCGGAAAGCCUGGAAAAAAACCUUGAAUCAAGUGAGAGACCUAAUAAAAUCUACUCGCAUGUGAGGUUUAUCAAGAUGCGGCGUCAAGAAGUCCUCAUAGCCUUGCUACUGUUUACACUUGUUUGCUCAGCUCCUCACAAGGAAAACAUCUCACCAGAAAAUGAGCUCACGAAGGACAAGCGUGCUAGUAGCGGCUUUGGUAAAGCCGGUGGCAGCAAAAUCGUGAAUCCUUUAUUCUCUUUCCAUAACUUUGGAUAAAAUCCAUAGAAACUUGCCCAUAAGUACCGAAUAAGCAGAUUAAUAAAGGAUGUUAAUAACGCUGAA